rnacentral:rRNA from 1 species
UGGAUCCAGACUUUGAUCAUGGCUCAGGAUGAACGCUAGCUACAGGCUUAACACAUGCAAGUCGAGGGGAAACGACAUCGGAAGCUUGCUUCCGAUGGGCGUCGACCGGCGCACGGGUGAGUAACGCGUAUCCAACCUGCCCACCACUUGGGAAUAACCUUGCGAAAGUAAGACUAAUGCCCAAUGAUAUUGAGUGCAGACAUCUAAUCUCAAUUAAAGAUUUAUCGGUGAUGGAUGGGGAUGCGUCUGAUUAGCUUGUUGGCGGGGUAACGGCCCACCAAGGCGACGAUCAGUAGGGGUUCUGAGAGGAAGGUCCCCCACAUUGGAACUGAGACACGGUCCAAACUCCUACGGGAGGCAGCAGUGAGGAAUAUUGGUCAAUGGACGAGAGUCUGAACCAGCCAAGUAGCGUGCAGGAUGACGGCCCUAUGGGUUGUAAACUGCUUUUAUAAGGGAAUAAAGUGAGUCUCGUGAGACUUUUUGCAUGUACCUUAUGAAUAAGGACCGGCUAAUUCCGUGCCAGCAGCCGCGGUAAUACGGAAGGUCCGGGCGUUAUCCGGAUUUAUUGGGUUUAAAGGGAGCGUAGGCCGGAGAUUAAGCGUGUUGUGAAAUGUAGACGCUCAACGUCUGCACUGCAGCGCGAACUGGUUUCCUUGAGUACGCACAA